UACAGAGGGUGCAAGCGUUGUUCGGAAUUAUUGGGCGUAAAGGGCGCGUAGGCGGUUCGGCAAGUCUCUAGUGAAAUCUCUGGGCUCAACUCAGAGGCUGCUGGGGAAACUGCCGGGCUUGAGUGUGGGAGAGGAGAGUGGAAUUCCCGGUGUAGCGGUGAAAUGCGCAGAUAUCGGGAGGAACACCUAUGGCGAAGGCAGCUCUCUGGGACGGUACUGACGCUGAGACGCGAAAGCGUGGGGAGCGAACAGG
rnacentral:rRNA from 1 species